rnacentral:rRNA from 1 species
GAGCGGUAAGGCCUUUCGGGGUACACGAGCGGCGAACGGGUGAGUAACACGUGGGUGAUCUGCCCUGCACUUCGGGAUAAGCCUGGGAAACUGGGUCUAAUACCGGAUAUGACCUCCUAUCGCAUGGUGGGUGGUGGAAAGAUUUAUCGGUGCAGGAUGGGCCCGCGGCCUAUCAGCUUGUUGGUGGGGUAAUGGCCUACCAAGGCGACGACGGGUAGCCGACCUGAGAGGGUGACCGGCCACACUGGGACUGAGACACGGCCCAGACUCCUACGGGAGGCAGCAGUGGGGAAUAUUGCACAAUGGGCGAAAGCCUGAUGCAGCGACGCCGCGUGAGGGAUGACGGCCUUCGGGUUGUAAACCUCUUUCAGCAGGGACGAAGCGCAAGUGACGGUACCUGCAGAAGAAGCACCGGCUAACUACGUGCCAGCAGCCGCGGUAAUACGUAGGGUGCAAGCGUUGUCCGGAAUUACUGGGCGUAAAGAGUUCGUAGGCGGUUUGUCGCGUCGUUUGUGAAAACCAGCAGCUCAACUGCUGGCUUGCAGGCGAUACGGGCAGACUUGAGUACUGCAGGGGAGACUGGAAUUCCUGGUGUAGCGGUGAAAUGCGCAGAUAUCAGGAGGAA